UACCAUGCAGUCGAGCGCCCCGCAAGGGGAGCGGCAGACGGGUGAGUAACGCGUGGGAAUCUACCUUUUGCUACGGAAUAACGCAGGGAAACUUGUGCUAAUACCGUAUGUGUCCUUCGGGAGAAAGAUUUAUCGGCAAGAGAUGAGCCCGCGUUGGAUUAGCUAGUUGGUGGGGUAAAGGCCUACCAAGGCGACGAUCCAUAGCUGGUCUGAGAGGAUGAUCAGCCACAUUGGGACUGAGACACGGCCCAAACUCCUACGGGAGGCAGCAGUGGGGAAUAUUGGACAAUGGGCGCAAGCCUGAUCCAGCCAUGCCGCGUGAGUGAUGAAGGCCCUAGGGUUGUAAAGCUCUUUCACCGGAGAAGAUAAUGACGGUAUCCGGAGAAGAAGCCCCGGCUAACUUCGUGCCAGCAGCCGCGGUAAUACGAAGGGGGCUAGCGUUGUUCGGAAUUACUGGGCGUAAAGCGCACGUAGGCGGAUCGAUCAGUCAGGGGUGAAAUCCCAGGGCUCAACCCUGGAACUGCCUUUGAUACUGUCGAUCUGGAGUAUGGAAGAGGUGAGUGGAAUUCCCAGUG
rnacentral:rRNA from 1 species